AAGACUAUAGACCUGCGGAGUACCUGCGGAAGGAUCAUUACCGAGUUUACAACUCCCAAACCCAAUGUGAACGUUACCAAACUGUUGCCUCGGCGGGAUCUCUGCCCCGGGUGCGUCGCAGCCCCGGACCAAGGCGCCCGCCGGAGGACCAACCAAAACUCUUUUGUAUACCCCCUCGCGGGUUUUUUAUAUCUGAGCCAUCUCGGCGCCUCUCGUAGGCGUUUCGAAAAUGAAUCAAAA
rnacentral:misc_RNA from 1 species